UACGGAGGGGGCUAGCGUUGUUCGGAAUUACUGGGCGUAAAGCGCGCGUAGGCGGCUUUUUAAGUUAGAGGUGAAAGCCCGGGGCUCAACUCCGGAAUUGCCUUUAAGACUGCAUCGCUAGAAUUGUGGAGAGGUAAGUGGAAUUCCGAGUGUAGAGGUGAAAUUCGUAGAUAUUCGGAAGAACACCAGUGGCGAAGGCGACUUACUGGACACAUAUUGACGCUGAGGUGCGAAAGCGUGGGGAGCAAACAGG
rnacentral:rRNA from 1 species